rnacentral:rRNA from 1 species
GGGAGGUAAAUUUCUUUUAAGGCUAAAUAUCAGCUAGAGACCGAUAGCGCACAAGUAGAGUGAUCGAAAGGUGAAAAGCACUUUGGAAAGAGGGUGAAACAGCACGUGAAAUUGUUGAAAGGGAAGCGCUUGCAACCAGAGUUGUCCGUGGAGGCUCAGCCGGCCCUUGGGUCGGUGCACUCCCCCCACGGACGGGCCAGCAUCAGUUUGGUCGGCCGGAUAAAGGCCGUGGGAAUGUGGCACCCUCGGGUGUGUUAUAGCCCGCGGCAUAAUACGGCCUGGCCAGACUGAGGUCGGCGCCCUAGGCACGGAUGUUGGCGUAAUGGUUGUCAGCGGCCCGUCUUGAAACACGGACCAAGGAGUCUAACAUCUAUGCGAGUGUUCGGGUGUCAAACCCGUGAGCGUAAUGAAAGUGAACGGAGGUGGGAGCCCUCGGGUGCACCAUCGACCGAUCCUGAAGUCUUCGGAUGGAUUUGAGUAUGAGCAUAGCUGUUGGGACCCGAAAGAUGGUGAACUAUGCGUGAAUAGGGUGAAGCCAGAGGAAACUCUGGUGGAGGCUCGCAGCGGUUCUGACGUGCAAAUCGAUCGUCAAAUUUGCGCAUAGGGGCGAAAGACUAAUCGAACCGUCUAGUAGCUGGUUCCUGCCGAAGUUUCCCUCAGGAUAGCAGUAACGGCAUUGAGUUUUAUGAGGUAAAGCGAAUGAUUAGAGGCCUGGGGGUUGAAACAACCUUCACCUAUUCUCAAACUUUAAAUAUGUAAGAAGCCCUUGUUACUUAGUUGAACGUGGGCAUUAGAAUCGAUCGUUACUAGUGGGCCAUUUUUGGUAAGCAGAACUGGCGAUGCGGGAUGAACCGAACGCGGGGUUACGGUGCCAGAGUGCACGCUCAUCAGACACCACAAAAGGUGUUAGUUCAUCUAGACAGCAGGACGGUGGCCAUGGAAGUCGGAAUCCGCUAAGGAGUGUGUAACAACUCACCUGCCGAAUGAACUAGCCCUGAAAAUGGAUGGCGCUCAAGCGUGCCACCUAUACCUCGCCGCCUGGGUGGGCUCGUGGCCCAGGCGAGUAGGCAGGCGUGGGGGUCCGUGACGAAGCC